CCAGAAUCCACUCUGGCUGGAAUCCGGUGGAUACAGCAGUGUUACAGAACAGUUCUCCACAGUCGCUCUCCACAUGGGUCAGUGGGACCACGCAGCACUCUGCUAAUGUGUGGACUCUGACCAGCAACAUCCAGCAAGACCCAGACAGCGUUUUCUAUCUCCCAGCUGGAGUUUUUUGUUUGUCUGUGACUGGAGAGUCACAGAUUUUUGUUGAGGCUGGAGGAACAGCCUCACACUCGCAGAGGUUAAUACACGCUACUGAUCCCUGAUGGGAGAAUCAUCACCUCUGCCAACAAAGAAGCCUGGUGGAUGUUUGUUUACAGUCUGAUGAUGGGACAUCAUGCUCUGCAUCUUCAAAGUUUGUCUCUUGAUUAUUAUUCAUACACAGUAAUGUGAAGUAUGCUUAUAUCUAGUAUAACGGGACCAACGUGGUGCUCUUCAUUUAUGGAGGCUGUUGAGUCUGAAUGUUGGAUGUUGUGUAUCUCUUGUUCUCUGGGCUUUGUUGUCCUCAGUCUUUUUGCAGGAUCAGAAAACAAAACCAGGAUGACCGUAAAUGUUUCUUCUCCAAUUGGAUGAUGAUAAGACUGUGACACGGGAUGCCACCUUUAGUCUUGUGAUGAAGCAAAGCUCAGGAAAAAGUGUGAUUAAAUGGUACCCACAUGUGUGCUGCUGAGAAGGAUGUACAGGGGCACCUGCAGCCAAAUCCAAGCCUCCUCAGCAACUUCAAGUCUGUCAGCGUGCUGAGGUCACAGAAACAAGAAAAGCAGCUUCAGACUUCAGAGUGUUGUUUACAGUUUUCUGUCAUCAUGAUCUCCCCUGAAGUUUAUCACUAUUAGGCAAGCAAGCAGAGCGGCCGUUUGUGCUCACAGAUGGUGACGGUGUGGAGAGACGGUGGUGUUUCCUCAGAAGAACUAGCAGAGUCACAACGGGCACGAGUCCAUCUCACCACCUUGACUUGCUGACUGAUGCUCGUCUGCACUGCACAGAGGAAAUCAACUGACCGAGGAGUGUUUCUGAGUGAGGGAGAGAGGAGUCAUCAUCCAGGUAAAGUGACGUGGAUCAGUGGAUACACUUGUCUCCGCUUUAAAGGAGACACUCUUAGAGAGAGACGAUCCGAGUCAUCCUUAAAUAUGGGCAGGAUAUCAGUCUUGGACUGUCUAACCUGCCGGAGCAGUACUGAAUGAUCACCACACAUGAGCAUGUUCCUGCAACAUUCAGCAUCUGAUCUGCCAUCUGUGUGCUUCUGCUUUUGUGUCAAAUGUCAAACAGCUGGAGAGGAAACUACACCAGUGUACUGGGAUGUUUCACCAACACGUGCCAGACGCUGUUCCUUCAUGGUGACAUCACCAGAGACAGUCCCGCCCACCUCAGGACCUCUCCAUUGAUCAUGAUGAUUAUAAUAAUGACAGCGAGCGGAACUAAGACUGUAAAAAUCCAUAACCAGAAUGUUUAGAUGCUUUCUAAUUAUUAAUGAAUACUGAGAGUCUCUUUCUGUGUUUUGUCUGGGUUUUUUUUUGUUUUUUUUUUACCUCAUUUGUUACUAACAAAGUUCACCAAACUCACACAGUUUACAUUCUGUAUGCUUCCAUCUUUACCAGCCACACUCUUAACUGCAAUUAAGAAAAUAAUCCUUAGAAAUCUUCGUUUUUCUCUUUUGUAAUUGAUGAUAAUUCAGUGAAUAUACUGCGCUGCUUCCUUUUGUUUCAUCUCACAUUGCUUUAAGUUUUUCAGUG